GGACUUUGCCGCAUUAGUGAGCUGACUUCAGACUGGUUGGCCAAGGCAGAAGAUGCUGUUAAAGUUGGCGAUCGUGUUGAUGUUAAACUUAUCGAGGUUAAUGAUAAGGGAAAACUACGCCUCAGCCGACGUGCACUUCUUCCCGUUCCUGAAACAAGUCCAGAAGAUCCCAGUUCAAAGCAGCUUACCGGCAACAAAGCUGAAGUUGUUGUUGCUGAUUCU